GAUGAAGAACGUAGCGAAAUGCGAUAAGUAAUGCGAAUUGCAGAAUUCAGUGAGUCAUCGAAUCUUUGAACGCACAUUGCGCCCUGUGGUAUUCCGCAGGGCAUGCCUGUUCGAGCGUCAUUUCAACCCUCAAGCCUCGCUUGGUGUUGGGCCCUGCCCGCCGCGGCCGGCCCUAAAGAUAGUGGCGGCGCCGCCUGGCCCUCAGCGUAGUACAGCUCUCGCUCCAGGGUCCGGCGGCAGCUUGCCAGAACCCCCCAACUCUGUGGUUGACCUCGGAUCAGGUAGGGAUACCCGCUGAACUUAAGCAUAUCAAUAAGCGGAGGA
rnacentral:misc_RNA from 1 species